rnacentral:lncRNA from 1 species
GUUGGUGUUAUUCUCUAAAGCACAACGGUCUCUUUUUCCCCUUUGUACAAGAGCAUAUAAAGCUCCAAAAUUUAAGUUCAGAUUUACAACUCAACAAAUAAAGGUAAAACAUUCUUGUAUAUUAUUUGUUUCUUUUGAAUUUACAAAAUAUUAUUCACUGUUCAUCCAUACCUCUCUAAGAAGUUCAUAUCUGAUGGGAUUUUGAUUCCCUAUCUCCUUUGAUUUCCAGCUGAGUGUUGAUGAUGCUGGUGAAGAACGAGAACCAUCAAGGAAAAUUGAAGCCAAUGGUGAAAUCAAUUCAUCAAGCUCAUCAUCACUGGCGUAUGACUUUCUAAGCAAUGAACCACUUCUUC